rnacentral:hammerhead_ribozyme from 1 species
AUCCAGAUGACGAGUCCCAAAUAGGGCGACAUGAGCAUCCUGGAU